rnacentral:rRNA from 1 species
AGAGUUUGAUCAUGGCUCAGGAUGAACGCUAGCGGCAGGCUUAAUACAUGCAAGUCGAGGGGCAGCAUGAGUGUAGCAAUACAUUUGAUGGCGACCGGCAAACGGGUGCGGAACACGUACACAACCUUCCUUUGAGCGGGGAAUAGCCCGGGGAAACCCGGAUUAAUACCUCAUAGUAUGGUGAAGAGGCAUCUCUUUACUAUUAAAGAUUUAUCACUUAAAGAUGGGUGUGCGGCUGAUUAGGUAGUUGGCGGGGUAACGGCCCACCAAGCCUACGAUCAGUAACUGGUGUGAGAGCACGACCAGUCACACGGGCACUGAGACACGGGCCCGACUCCUACGGGAGGCAGCAGUAAGGAAUAUUGGUCAAUGGACGAAAGUCUGAACCAGCCAUGCCGCGUGGAGGAUGAAGGUCCUCUGGAUUGUAAACUUCUUUUAUAUGGGACGAAAAAAGGCUUUUCUAAGUCGUCUGACGGUACCAUAUGAAUAAGCACCGGCUAACUCCGUGCCAGCAGCCGCGGUAAUACGGAGGGUGCAAGCGUUAUCCGGAUUCACUGGGUUUAAAGGGUGCGUAGGUGGGUUGGUAAGUCAGUGGUGAAAUCCCCGAGCUUAACUUGGGAACUGCCAUUGAUACUAUUAAUCUUGAAUACCGUGGAGGUCAGCGGAAUAUGUCAUGUAGCGGUGAAAUGCUUAGAUAUGACAUAGAACACCAAUUGCGAAGGCAGCUGGCUACGCGAAUAUUGACACUGAUGCACGAAAGCGUGGGGAUCAAACAGGAUUAGAUACCCUAGUAGUCC